GCAGACUCACUCUGCACUUGGCUGUAGCCUCCAGGCAGGUGCUUUUUCUGUCUGCCAGAGAACCAUUCCAGGGAGCUGUGACAGCCUUGACCUGUCAGGGGGGCAGUGCAGCUUCUUGGGGACAUAGAA
ensembl:snoRNA small nucleolar RNA SNORA77